UAGAAAGUAGCAUAGUUGGGAGUGCAAGGGGCUUUGAUUCCCUAAGUACAGGUUCAAUUCCUGUUUUUCUAG
rnacentral:tRNA from 1 species